GAUGAACGCUGGCGGCGUGCCUAAUACAUGCAAGUCGAACGAGGCCCUUUGUAUUCGUACGAAGGUGUCCUAGUGGCGAACGGGUGAGUAACACGUAGGUGACCUGCCCCGAAGCGGGGGACAACUCCGGGAAACUGGAGCUAAUACCCCAUGUUUUCCAUGGUGUUAGAGGACCAUGGAACAAAGGAGCAAUCCGCUUUGGGAGGGGCCUGCGGCCCAUCAGCUAGUUGGUAGGGUAAUGGCCUACCAAGGCUAUGACGGGUAGGGGACCUGAGAGGGUGGUCCCCCACACUGGAACUGAAACACGGACCAGACACCUACGGGUGGCAGCAGUAGGGAAUAUUGCACAAUGGGCGAAAGCCUGAUGCAGCAACGCCGCGUGCGCGAUGAAGGCCUUCGGGUUGUAAAGCGCUUUUCUGGGGGAAGAGGAAGGACGGUACCCCAGGAAUAAGUCUCGGCUAACUACGUG
rnacentral:rRNA from 1 species